GAUGAAGAACGCAGUGAAAUGCGAUAAGUAAUGUGAAUUGCAGAAUUCAGUGAAUCAUCGAAUCUUUGAACGCACAUUGCGCCCCUUGGUAUUCCGAGGGGCAUGCCUGCUCGAGCGUCAUUAUAACCCCUCAAGCUCAGCUUGGUGUUGGGGCCUGCUGCACUGGCAGCCCUUAAAAUCAGUGGCGGCGCCAUCUGGCUCUAAGCGUAGUAAUUCUUCUCGCUAUGGAGUCCUGGUGGAUGCUUGCCAUCAACCCCCAAUUUUUCUAUGGUUGACCUCGGAUCAGGUAGGGAUACCCGCUGAACUUAAGCAUAUCAAUAAGCGGAGGA
rnacentral:misc_RNA from 1 species